UACAGAGGGGGCAAGCGUUGUUCGGAAUUACUGGGCGUAAAGGGCGCGUAGGCGGCCUGUUAAGUCGAACGUGAAAUCCCCGGGCUCAACCCGGGAACUGCGUCCGAUACUGGCAGGCUUGAAUUCGGGAGAGGGAUGCGGAAUUCCAGGUGUAGCGGUGAAAUGCGUAGAUAUUGGGAAGAACACCGGUGGCGAAGGCGGCGCUCUGGACCGAGACUGACGCUGAGGCGCGAAGGCGUGGGGAGCAAACAGG
rnacentral:rRNA from 1 species